ACGGAAGGCAGCAGUGGGGAAUAUUGCACAAUGGGGGGAACCCUGAUGCAGCGACGCCGCGUGAGUGAAGAAGUAUUUCGGUAUGUAAAGCUCUAUCAGCAGGGAAGAAGAUGACGGUACCUGACUAAGAAGCACCGGCUAAAUACGUGCCAGCAGCCGCGGUAAUACGUAUGGUGCAAGCGUUAUCCGGAUUUACUGGGUGUAAAGGGAGCGUAGACGGCAAAGCAAGUCUGAAGUGAAAUCCCGGGGCUCAACCCCGGAACUGCUUUGGAAACUGUUUAGCUAGAGUGCAGGAGAGGUAAGCGGAAUUCCUAGUGUAGCGGUGAAAUGCGUAGACAUUAGGAGGAACACCAGUGGCGAAGGCGGCUUACUGGACGAUUACUGACGCUGAGGCUCGAAAGCGUGGGGAGCAAACAGGAUUAGAUACCCUGGUA
rnacentral:rRNA from 1 species